CACCCUCCCUUUCUCUUCCGAUCCAAUCCCCCACCGUCAAGCAUACCCUUGCCCCGCCCCUCCCCGACUCAGCGCGCCUUCCUCCGACCUCGCAGCAGAGGCAGCACGCCAUGGCCGCCGCGUCUGAUCUGGAGAGCAAGGAGGCGCUGGCCUUCGUUGACAGCGAUCUAGAGCUAGUCGCCGAGCUCUACACCCAGGCAUCGUGACCCGCGGACGGGCGGCCUUGCCGUCGUCGGUCCUGCGACCGACGGAGCUGUCCUCGAGGCAGAUCCUCACUGUGCCGUUGGAGAAAUUUACGGGAGAUGGAAGCCUGCACGGAUCCGGUGUCUCCGACCUCGAUUACAUAGGAUGGCCUAUCUUCUUGGACGACACAUGGGGAGGCGCCAAUGAGGAUCGUGUAAGCCUCUACCUCGGCAUCCUGUAUGCAGAUGGCGAUUUACUUGAUCCAGCUGUAGUGGCUUCAUCAUUAUUUGAUCGCCUAAGGUGUACAAG